UGGGGAAUAUUGGACAAUGGGGGCAACCCUGAUCCAGCAAUGCCGCGUGUGUGAAGAAGGUCUUCGGAUUGUAAAGCACUUUCGACGGGGACGAUGAUGACGGUACCCGUAGAAGAAGCCCGGCUAACUUCGUGCCAGCAGCCGCGGUAAUACGAAGGGGGCUAGCGUUGCUCGGAAUGACUGGGCGUAAAGGGCGUGUAGGCGGUUUACACAGUCAGAUGUGAAAUCCCCGGGCUUAACCUGGGAGCUGCAUUUGAUACGUGUAGACUAGAGUGUGAGAGAGGGUUGUGGAAUUCCCAGUGUAGAGGUGAAAUUCGUAGAUAUUGGGAAGAACACCGG
rnacentral:rRNA from 1 species